GUUGAGCUGACCUGCGGGUCGUCGCCCACGUCGACAACCUUAACGUGAUCUGGCUUCACUCGAACGACGGCACGAGUCCGCGCAUGCUGACGGCUAACGGAGCGCGGCUGGUCGAUGAUGCACGCUUCAGCAGCAUCGUGACGCGGGUCGGAGCGGGAGCGGACUGUGAGGCUGCGCAUCAGGCACAUCACGUACGGUGACUCCGGAAUGUACACGUGCGAGAUACCGACCGUGCCGCCAGUGAUGCUGGACGUUUAUAUACGCGUCAUACCCGGCGAUCAGGUUGAUAAUGAAGGUCAAGGCGAAGGUCGCGCCGCAGGCAGGGGUCAGGGA